CAGUCGCCGCGGUAAUACGUAGGGUGCAAGCGUUAAUCGGAAUUACUGGGCGUAAAGCGUGCGCAGGCGGUUCGGAAAGAAAGAUGUGAAAUCCCAGAGCUUAACUUUGGAACUGCAUUUUUAACUACCGGGCUAGAGUGUGUCAGAGGGAGGUGGAAUUCCGCGUGUAGCAGUGAAAUGCGUAGAUAUGCGGAGGAACACCGAUGGCGAAGGCAGCCUCCUGGGAUAACACUGACGCUCAUGCACGAAAGCGUGGGGAGCAAACAGGAUUAGAUACCCCCGUAGUCCCUGUCUCUUAUAC
rnacentral:rRNA from 1 species